CUGUUUUCCAUCCCUUUUGCUGUUUUCUAGAGAAGCUCUGUCUCCUCCUGUAUGUGGAGAUGAAGGAGCAUGGAAGGCUG
rnacentral:lncRNA from 1 species